UACAGAGGUCUCAAGCGUUGUCCGGAUUUAUUGGGCGUAAAGAGCGUGUAGGCGGCCAGACAGGUCAGCUGUGAAAACUCGAGGCUCAACCUCGAGAUGUCGGUUGAAACCGUCUGGCUAGAGUCCGGAAGAGGAGAGUGGAAUUCCCGAUGUAGCGGUGAAAUGCGCAGAUAUCGGGAAGAACACCCGUGGCGAAGGCGGCUCUCUGGGACGGUACUGACGCUGAGACGCGAAAGCGUGGGGAGCGAACAGG
rnacentral:rRNA from 1 species